GAGCUCACUUCGGCAGCACAUAUACUAAAAAAAAUUGGAAUGAUACAGAGAAGGUUAGCAUGGCCCCCGAGCAAGGAUGACACACACAUUUGUGAAGCAUUCCAUAUUUAA
ensembl:snRNA U6 U6 spliceosomal RNA